rnacentral:rRNA from 1 species
CAGUCGCCGCGGGAAUACGUAGGGUGCGAGCGUUAAUCGGAAUUACUGGGCGUAAAGCGUGCGCAGGCGGUUAUGCAAGACAGAUGUGAAAUCCCCGGGCUCAACCUGGGAACUGCAUUUGUGACUGCAUGACUAGAGUACGGCAGAGGGGGAUGGAAUUCCGCGUGUAGCAGUGAAAUGCGUAGAUAUGCGGAGGAACACCGAUGGCGAAGGCAAUCCCCUGGGCCUGUACUGACGCUCAUGCACGAAAGCGUGGGGAGCAAACAGGAUUAGAUACCCCAGUAGUCCCUGUCUCUUAUAC